rnacentral:rRNA from 1 species
CCUACGGGAGGCAGCAGUGGGGAAUUUUGCGCAAUGCUCGUAAGAGUGACGCAGCGACGCCGCGUGAAUGACGAAGGCCUUCGGGUCGUAAAGUUCUUUCGACAGGGAAGAAAAUGCCUAUAAGUAACUGUGUAUGUAUUGACGGUACCUGUAUAAGCAGCCCCGGCUAACUCCGUGCCAGCAGCCGCGGUAAUACGGAGGGGGCGAGCGUUGUUCGGAGUGACUGGGCGUAAAGAGCACGUAGGCGGUGUUGUAAGUCAUUAGUCAAAGACUAGAGCUCAACUUUAGUAAGGCUAGUGAUACUAUAAUACGAGAGUAUCAGAGCGGAGUGCAGAAUUCCUGGUGUAGCGGUGAAAUGCGUAGAUAUCAGGAGGAAUACCGUUAGCGAAGGCGGCAAUCUGGCUGGAAACUGACGCUGAGGUGCGAAAGCGUGGGUAGCAAACAGGAUUAGAUACCCUGGUAGUC